UACGUAGGGGGCAAGCGUUGUCCGGAAUCAUUGGGCGUAAAGCGCGUGUAGGCGGCCUUGUAAGUCCGUUCUGAAAGUCCGAGGCUCAACCUCGGGAGGCGGAUGGAUACUGCAAGGCUCGAGUCCAGAAGAGGCGAGUGGAAUUCCCGGUGUAGCGGUGAAAUGCGCAGAUAUCGGGAGGAACACCAAUGGCGAAGGCAGCUCGUUGGGACGGUACUGACGCUGAGACGCGAAAGCGUGGGGAGCAAACGGG
rnacentral:rRNA from 1 species